CGAGGUUAGGUGAUGUGACCU
rnacentral:misc_RNA from 1 species